AUGGGUUCCUUCACAAAUGGUGGGGCAGCUGAUUCUGCAAGUCCUGUGACCCCCUUCACUAAAGCUGGGUUCUUCAGCAAGAUCUCAUUUUGGUGGUUGAAUCCUCUACUGAAGGUGGGCUACAAGAAACCCCUUGAGGACAAAGACAUACCACUUCUAGGCGCCACAGAUCGAGCACACAACCAGUACAUGAUGUUCAUGGAGAAGCUGAAUGGCAAGAAGCAGUCGCCGUCACAUGACCCACCAUCAUUCUUAUGGACUAUUGUUUCUUCUCACAAGUGUGCCAUCUUGGUCUCCGGUUUCUUUGCUUUGCUCAAGGUUCUCACCUUGUCUACAGGCCCAAUAAUUCUCAAGGCAUUCAUCAAUGUCUCUCUUGGGAAAGGGACCUUUAAACACGAAGGCUAUGUGCUUGCUGCGUUACUGUUCGUCUGCAAAUGUUGUGAAUCAUUGUCACAGAGACAGUGGUAUUUCCGCACUCGGAGAUUAGGGCUGCAGGUGAGGUCACUCCUGUCAGCAGCUAUUUAUAAGAAACAACAGAAGCUAUCGAAUGCAGCAAAAAUGAAGCACUCUUCUGGAGAAAUUAUGAACUAUGUGACCGUCGACGCGUAUCGGAUUGGGGAAUUCCCAUACUGGUUCCAUCAAUCAUGGACAACUAGUGUUCAGCUCUGCAUUGCUCUGGCAAUUCUAUACAAUGCGGUUGGUGCUGCAAUGAUUUCAUCUUUAGUUGUCAUUAUUAUCACUGUACUGUGCAGCGUUCCAUUGGCCAGACUGCAACACAAAUUUCAGAGUAAACUUAUGGAAGCAUAA
rnacentral:rRNA from 1 species